rnacentral:rRNA from 1 species
UACGGGGGGGGCAAGCGUUGUUCGGAAUUACUGGGCGUAAAGGGCUUGUAGGCGGCCAACUAAGUCGGAUGUGAAAUCCCCAGGCUUAACCUGGGAACUGCAUCCGAUACUGGAUGGCUUGAAUCCGGGAGAGGGAUGCAGAAUUCCAGGUGUAGCGGUGAAAUGCGUAGAUAUCUGGAGGAAUACCGGUGGCGAAGGCGGCAUCCUGGACCGGCAUUGACGCUGAGGAGCGAAAGCUAGGGGAGCAAACGGG